UAGACGCACCGCCUUUAAGAGCUGUGACACUCACUGCAAAGGUCUGCAGCUUCACUCCUGAAGCCAGUGAGACCACGAACCAACCAGAAGGAAGAAACUCUGGACACAACAUCUUUAAGAACUGUAACACUCACCGCGAGGGUCCACAGCUUCAUUCUUGAAGUCAGUGAGACCAAGAACCCCCCAAUUCCGGACACACUACUACCUGGCUACCACGUAUGUUCACUCAAGGUCCUAGUGCUUUACAAUCGGCGGGUCACAAAGACAGCCAGGAGUCUUUCACCAUAGCUACCGC
rnacentral:lncRNA from 10 species